AAAGAUAACAGUGAAUAUGAGACAUGGGGGAAGGUAGAAGAUAACAGUGAAUAUGAGACAUGGAGGAAGGUAGAAAGAUAACAGUGAAUAUGAGACAUGGGGGAAGGUAGAAAGAUAACAGUGAAUAUGAGACAUGGGGGAAGGUAGAAAGAUAACAGUGAAUAUGAGACAUGGAGGAAGGUAGAAAGAUAACAGUGAAUAUGAGACAUGGAGGAAGGUAGAAAUAUAACAGUGAAUAUGAGACAUGGAGGAAGGUAGAAAGAUAACAGUGAAUAUGAGACAUGGAGGAAGGUAUUGGGAAGGUAGAAAGGUAACAGUGAAUAUGAGCCAUGGGGGAAGGUAGAAAGAUAACGGUGAAUUUGAGACAUGGGGGAAGGUAGAAAGAUAACAGUGAAUAUGAGAUAUGGGGGAAGGUAGAAAGAUAACAGUGAAUAUGAGACAUGGAGGAAGGUAGAAAGAUAACAGUGAAUGAGACAUGGGGGAAGGUAGAAAGAUAACAGUGAAUGAGACAUGGGGGAAGGUAGAAAGAUAACAGUGAAUAUGAGACAUGGAGGAAGGUAGAAAGAUAACAGUGAAUAUGAGACAUGGAGGAAGGUAG
rnacentral:lncRNA from 1 species